rnacentral:rRNA from 1 species
AACGAACGCUGGCGGCAGGCCUAACACAUGCAAGUCGAACGCCGUAGCAAUACGGAGUGGCAGACGGGUGAGUAACGCGUGGGAACAUACCCCUCGGUUCGGAAUAACUCAGGGAAACUUGAGCUAAUACCGGAUACGUCCGAGGUUUUAAUCGACCUUGGAGAAAGAUUUAUCGCCGGAGGAUUGGCCCGCGUCUGAUUAGCUUGUUGGUGAGGUAAUGGCUCACCAAGGCGACGAUCAGAGCUGGUCUGAGAGGAUGAUCAGCCACAUUGGGACUGAGACACGGCCCAAACUCCUACGGGAGGCAGCAGUGGGGAAUAUUGGACAAUGGGCGAAAGCCUGAUCCAGCCAUGCCGCGUGAGUGAUGAAGGCCUUAGGGUUGUAAAGCUCUUUUACCCGGGAAGAUAAUGACGGUACCGGGAGAAUAA